GUCAAAGUCUACUUUGGACUUUUUACAUUGGUCACCAUGUACCCUGUCAGCAGCACCUGCAAGAAUAACUUAAUUAUACCAAACGUGCUGUUUGGGGAUAUAGCAGGUUAAAAUUAAACCAACUUCAUGCAGUGAAUACAUGCACACAUACUCUCUUGUUUUCCGAAGGAAGGAACUUCUAACUUCUACAGAGUACCAUUCCUUUAGUUUUGUCAACCAGCUCGCUGAUCCAGUGCCCUCUGGAAUUUCUGUGCCUGUUUCCUUUAAUCUGAGUGUUUUGGUACAAUCUCUUCAGACCACAGUGAUUGGAGUGAGAGGCUCUCCGGUUUUUCAGCACCCAGAUCUCUUGCAUCCUUGACAUCUGCUUCUCUGCAGAUCCCAACUAAUACAAGUGGUACUGAGAGUGGUUUGAUAAAACAAGUGGCAAGAUGGGGAUUUAGUUAUGGCUCAUCUUUACCACUCAGUCUGAAUGGAAGGUGGAUAACAGAAAGUCCCUGGAAAAAGCCCCAAUUGCUAAUGAUUUCACUGGAGACUGACUAAGCGUGGGGCACAUAAUCUAACUGAGGCCAACUAGAUCCGCCAAGAAUUAGUUCUGGGAUUUUUGCUGGACUUGUCUGGAAAGAAAAUUUUUCCCUAUGCAAGAAUUCUUAGCAUUGGAAAAUAGACAUUUAGAAGUUGUAGAGACCACACAAACAGAUGAGGCCUCAGAAGAAAGCCUACUGAGACAGAAUAAGAUAGACUGAGAUUCCUCAGGACUUUAAUGGACUGAAAUAAUUACCAUUCAGCUCUUUCAGAUUUGGAGCUACUCACAGUUUAGGCCUCAGAACUCUGGCGGAAGGGAUUCAAUGGAAAACUUCUGGCUAUUAAUGAAAAUAUGCAUAAUUAAUUCUGAAGAAUGAAGGAUAAAUAACAAAAACAGUCUCUCUGUUCCCUGAGACACAAUAUUGAAAUUAGGCCAGUCAAUAACCUCACAAAAGCCUCUAACUGUUCAACUGAAAGAGUCACAUGUCACUUUAAGUCAAAAACUGAAAGUGAUUAAGUUUAGUGAGGAAGGCCUGUCAAAAGCUGAGACAGGCUGAAAGCUAGGCCUCCUGCACCAAAUAGCCAAAUAAACUGGUGAAGUCAAAUGAAAUAUUCUUAAAGAAAAUUAAAAGUGCUUGUCCAGUGAACACAUGAAUUCUAAGAAAGUGAAAAAGCCUUAUUGCUGAUAUGGAGAAAGUGUGAGUGGUCUGGACAGAAGAUCAAAUCAGCCACAACAUUCCCUUAAAACAAAGCCUAAUCCAGAGCAAGUCUCUCACUCUCUUCAAUUCUAUGAAGUCUGAAGGAGGUGAGCAAGUUGCAGAAGAGAAGCUGGAAGCUAGCAGAGGCUGGUUGGUUCAUGGGUUUAAAUAAAGUAAGCCAUCUCCAUAACAUAAAAGUACAAGGUGAAGCAAUAAGUGCUGAUGUAGAAGCUGUAGCAAGUUAUUCAGAAGACCUAGUGAAGAUCAUUCAUGAAGGUGUCUACAAUAAACAACAAAUUUUCAACAUAGAUUAAACAGUCUUCUGUUGGAAGAAGAUGCCAUCUCAGAUUUCAUAGCCUUCAAAGCUGCAAAGGACAGACUACCUCCUCUAUUAGGGUCUAAUCCAGCUGAUGACUAUAGGUUGAAGCCAAUGCUCAUUUGCCACCCCCAAAUACUCAGGUCCUUAAAAAAUAUUCUAAAUCUACUCCAUCUGUGCUUCAUAAGUGGAACAAUAAAGUAUGGAUGACAGCAUAUCUGUUUACAGCAUUAUUUUAAGCCCACUCUCAGGAAAAAAAAUUUACAGCUCAGUGACAAUGCACCUGGUCACCCAGGGGCUCUGAUGGAGCUAUACAAUGCGAUUCACAUUGUUUGCAUGCAAUACUAACACCACAUUUAUUCUACAGCCCAGGGACCAAGGAGUAAUUUCAACUUCCAAGUCUUUUUAUUGAAGUAAUACAGUUUGUAAGGGCAUUGCUGCCAUAGAUAGUGAAUAGUAAUUCCUCUGAUGGAACUGGGCAAAGCAAAUUGAAAACCUUCUGGAAAGGAUUCACCAUUGUAGGUGCCAUUUAAAACAGUUAUGAUUUAUGGGAAGAGGUUAAAUAUUGACAUAAACAGGAGUUUGGAAAAAGUUGAUUGUAACCCCAACAGAUGAAGUUCAAAACUUCAGCAGAGUAAGUAAUUGUGGAUGUGGUGGAAACAGCAAGAGAACUAAAGUUAGAAGUAGGGCCUGAAGAUGGAACUAAAUUGCUGCAAUCUCAUGAUAAAAAUGGACAAGGAGUUGCUUCUUACAUAUGAGCAAAGAAAGUGGUCUCUUGAGAGACCUCUUGAGAGACCAAUCUAUUCUUGGUGAAGAUGCUGUGAAGAUGGCUGAAAUGACAACAAAAGAUUUAGUAUAGUAUGUAAACCCAGCUGAUAAAGCAGCAGCAGGAUUUGAGAGAACCGUCUCCAAUUUUGAAAGAAGUCUACUGUAGGUAAAAUGUUUCAGACACCAUUGUUUGCUACAGGGAAAUCAUUCACAAAAGGAAGAAUCAAUUUGGCAAACUUCAUGGUCGAAAUUAUUUAAGAACUUGCCACAGCCACUCUGACCUUUGGCAAUCACUACCCUGAUCAGCACCCAUCAUUAUCGAGGCAAGACCCUCCACCAGCAAAAAGAUUACAACUCUUUGUUUUUUGUUUUUGUUUUUGUUUUUAUUACAACUCUUUGAAAACUCAUGAUGAUUGGCAUAUUUUAGCAAUAAAGUAUUUUUUAAUUAAGGAAUGAACCUUUUUUUUUGACAUAAUGCUAUCGCACACUUAAUUGACCGUAGCACAGUAUAAACAUCUUUUAAAUGCACUGAGAAACCAAAUUUGUUUGGCUCACUUUAUUGCAAUAUUUGCUUUAUGGUGGUCUGCAACUAAACCCACAAUAUUUUCCAAGUAUUCCUGCCAUCCCCAUGAGAAAUGAAGCAACUG